GCAUGUGUAUGAAAAUGCAGGGGUGAACGUUGACCGCCACAUCUAUGAGAACCCCGGAGAGCUGAGAGACGCCACGCCUGAUCUCAUCCUGGCCGUCAAACCCAAGGUGCCCCUCGAGGACGAGCAGUUCUCGGCGGCCGAGUAUGGCGAAGAGAAAGCUUCGGCGAGCGAUUCCUCUUUGUCGUCUUCUCGCUUGUCAUGUCUAGACAGGGCGGAAAGAAAUUCCCGAGCUCUUAGCCUUCAUGAUUCUAUCACUAAGAUUCUCUCAGAGACCACAGAUUCUUCUGAGGAGGAGUGGCAGUCCAUCG